rnacentral:rRNA from 1 species
UUGACCAUCCUUUUUGACAAACUCUAAGAGAUAAGAGCCUUUCCCCUUUCGGGGGGACAAAGUGACAGGUGGUGCAUGGUUGUCGUCAGCUCGUGUCGUGAGAUGUUGGGUUAAGUCCCGCAACGAGCGCAACCCUUAAGCUUAGUUGCCAUCAUUAAGUUGGGCACUCUAAGUUGACUGCCGGUGACAAACCGGAGGAAGGUGGGGAUGACGUCAAAUCAUCAUGCCCCUUAUGAUUUGGGCUACACACGUGCUACAAUGGACAAUACAAAGGGCAGCGAAACCGCGAGGUCAAGCAAAUCCCAUAAAGUUGUUCUCAGUUCGGAUUGUAGUCUGCAACUCGACUACAUGAAGCUGGAAUCGCUAGUAAUCGUAGAUCAGCAUGCUACGGUGAAUACGUUCCCGGGUCUUGUACACACCGCCCGUCACACCACGAGAGUUUGUAACACCCGAAGCCGGUGGAGUAACCAUUUGGAGCUAGCCGUCGAAGGUGGGACAAAUGAUUGGGGUGAAGUCGUAACAAGGUAGCCGACGGCUAC